GACGAACGCUGGCGGCGUGCUUAACACAUGCAAGUCGAACGGUGAAGGGGCCUGCUUUUGUGGGCCCUGGAUGAGUGGCGAACGGGUGAGUAACACGUGAGUAACCUGCCCCCUUCUUCUGGAUAACCGCAUGAAAGUGUGGCUAAUACGGGAUAUUCUGGGUCUGUCGCAUGAUGGGUCUGGGAAAGAUUGCGCCUUUGGGUGUUUUUGGUGGGGGAUGGGCUCGCGGCCUAUCAGCUUGUUGGUGGGGUGAUGGCCUACCAAGGCGGUGACGGGUAGCCGGCCUGGGAGGGUGGACGGUCACACUGGGACUGAGACACGGCCCAGACUCGUACGGGAGGCAGCAGUGGGGAAUAUUGCACAAUGGGCGCAAGCCUGAUGCAGCGACGCCGCGUGAGGGAGGGAGGCCUUCGGGUUGUAAACCUCUUUCGCCAGUGAAGCAGGCCUGGUCCUUGUGGGUGGGUUGACGGUAGCUGGAUAAGAAGCGCCGGCUAACUACGUG
rnacentral:rRNA from 1 species